AGAGAAAAUCUUACGCUGCCGCGGGGCCACCUUCUCUCUCAUGUCAUCACUUCCGCUAUUUUUAGCAAAGUUUCAGGGUGGUUAAGGUUGUUUAUAGACCUGGUUUUGUCGAUUCUAGGUUCCCUUCCUCUUUGCUUGCAUGAAAAUCCUAUGGUUCUGGGGGGUUCCUACUGCAUAAAAUUCGUUGGGCCAAAGGCCCAACAUUCCUCUUGAUCGAGUCCGCUAAAAGAAUGGAAAGGGAAGCUAAAUUAUUUUGAAGGCCCAUCCAUGGGUAAAAAUGGACACUGGUGGGCUUGGUAGGCCCACCAGCUCAAUUCUCUUCCUUUCUCCCUUACUUUACAUUUAUAUGUCACAUGUGUAUGUAAUUGUAAACAUUUGUAAAUAUUGGAACCCAUGUGGAUGUAGAACUUAGAAAAA